rnacentral:lncRNA from 1 species
AUUGAGUGAGCGAUGGAGAGAUUGAGUGAGCGUGAGUGAUUGAGAGAGCGAUUGAGAGGCGUGAGAGAUUGAAGAGUGAGGACGAUGAGGGAUUUCUUGUUCUGUUAUUGUUCCUCUCAUUUUCUUGUUUUAUUUAUUUUAAAAAACAAACGUUUAAACCAUUAAAAAAAAUUAACACUUUUAGUCUUCCUUUGUUUUUUUUAUUAAAUAGUGUAUAUUAAUGUAUUAUUUUUUG